CAGCUUUUCCUGGAGAGGCUCUCCCGGGAUCAGCAGAGGGAGCCCAAUUCCUGGAUGCUGGCAGGCCCGGACUUCACCGCUUGAUGCCAAAACCUGAUGAGCCCUGUUCACGUAUUCUCCACAAACCCACUAAGCCCCCAGUGGAGUUGGGCGAUGGGGUCAUCUUUUGUGGUCACUGUCAUUGUCCUCUGGGUCCAGAUCCUGCUGCAAAGCCCUCAGGCUGCAGAAGCCCAGC